UUUUGUGAUGUGUUCCUAAUAUGAAAUAUAAGUGUAUUGGGAAUAUUUUGCAUCCAU
rnacentral:pre_miRNA from 1 species